rnacentral:rRNA from 1 species
GGCGGUUUAGUAAGUNUGAAGUUAAAGGCAUUGGCUCAACCAANGUAUGCUUUGGAAACUGUUAGACUNGAGUGCAGAAGGGGAGAGUGGAAUUCCAUGUGUAGCGGUGAAAUGCGUAGAUAUAUGGAGGAACACCGGUGGCGAAAGCGGCUCUCUGGUCUGUCACUGACGCUGAGGCUCGAAAGCGUGGGUGGCGAACAGGAUUAGAUACCCUGGUAGUNCACGCCGUAAACGCUGAGUGCUAGGUGUUAGGUCCUUUCCGGGACUUAGUGCCGACGCUAACGCAUUAAGCACUCCGCCUGGGGAGUACGACCGCAAGGUUGAAACUCAAAGGAAUUGACGGGGGCCCGCACAAGCGGUGGAGCAUGUGGUUUAAUUCGAAGCAACGCGAAGAACCUUACCAGGUCUUGACAUCCCGAUGCCCGCUCUAGAGAUAGAGUUUUUCUUCGGAACAUCGGAGACAGGUGGUGCAUGGUUGUCGUCAGCUCGUGUCGUGAGAUGUUGGGUUAAGUCCCGCAACGAGCGCAACCCUUAUUGUUAGUUGCCAUCAUUAAGUUGGGCACUCUAGCGAGACUGCCGGUAAUAAACCGGAGGAAGGUGGGGAUGACGUCAAAUCAUCAUGCCCCUUAUGACCUGGGCUACACACGUGCUACAAUGGUUGGUACAACGAGUCGCAAGCCGGUGACGGCAAGCUAAUCUCUGAAAGCCAAUCUCAGUUCGGAUUGUAGGCUGCAACUCGCCUACAUGAAGUCGGAAUCGCUAGUAAUCGCGGAUCAGCACGCCGCGGUGAAUACGUUCCCGGGCCUUGUACACACCGCCCGUCACACCACGAGAGUUUGUAACACCCAAAGUCGGUGAGGUAACCAUUUAUGGGGCCAGCC